GUGUGGAAGACCCAGUCACUGUGCUUAUGAACUACAACAGGAUCUCUUUGGUGCCUUCUGCCACGCUUCUGACGUUUCUUUGGCCAGAACUGAACACUGACCGCAUCCAGCCCUAGGCCAAGCAUUGUCAUCAAGGAUAUGCUUCUCAGAGCAGAAGUGAAGGACAAAUGCCAGAGACAAAGCAUUUUCUACAGUUCUUCCCACUCUUCUGUUUGUCACAUGGCGUGCCUCAGCAGGGAGGUAGACACAAGUAACAUCUGAGCUCAGAUGCGAGUCUGAUGGCCAGUUGAGAGGUAGGAACCAGAGAUCUAGAUUUGGAAGUUAAUAACAACACUGUUGAUUUAAAAUCCACAGGAGUAGAGGAAGAUGCUUAGAGAUUGCAUGGUCAGAAGAGCCUAGAACAAAUCUGGGAGACAUAAAUGCUUAAACACUGGGCAACAAAGAAAGAGGAGGAGGAACUCAUGGAGGAGCACUAAGAGAAGGGACCACUACAGAGACCUUGGUGAUCUUUUCCCAA